GUGCUUACUACAGCAGCAUAUAUACUAAAAUUGGAAUAACACAAAGAAGAUUAGCAUGGCCCCUGUGCAAAGAUGACACAAAAUUCACGAAGUGUUCCCUAUUUCA
ensembl:snRNA U6 U6 spliceosomal RNA